rnacentral:rRNA from 1 species
UGAAGCGGCAACAGCUCAAAUUUGAAAUCUGGCCCCCAGGGCCCGAGUUGUAAUUUGCAGAGGAUGCUUUUGGCGCGGUGCCUUCCGAGUUCCCUGGAACGGGACGCCAUAGAGGGUGAGAGCCCCGUCUGGUCGGACGCCUAGCCUGUGUAAAGCUCCUUCGACGAGUCGAGUAGUUUGGGAAUGCUGCUCUAAAUGGGAGGUAUAUGUCUUCUAAAGCUAAAUACCGGCCAGAGACCGAUAGCGCACAAGUAGAGUGAUCGAAAGAUGAAAAGCACUUUGAAAAGAGGGUUAAAUAGUACGUGAAAUUGUUGAAAGGGAAGCGCUUGUGACCAGACUUGGGCCCGGUGGAUCAUCCAGCGUUCUCGCUGGUGCACUCCGCCGGGUUCAGGCCAGCAUCAGUUCGCCGCGGGGGGAAAAGGCUUCGGGAACGUGGCUCCUACGGGAGUGUUAUAGCCCGUUGCAUAAUACCCUGGGGCGGACUGAGGUUCGCGCUCCGCAAGG